AGCGUAGACGGUAAAGCAAGUCUGAAGUGAAAGCCCGGGGCUCAACUCCGGGACUGCUUUGGAAACUGUUUAACUAGAGUGCUGGAGAGGUAAGCGGAAUUCCUAGUGUAGCGGUGAAAUGCGUAGAUAUUAGGAGGAACACCAGUGGCGAAGGCGGCUUACUGGACGGUAACUGACGUUGAGGCUCGAAAGCGCGGGGAGCAAACA
rnacentral:rRNA from 1 species